rnacentral:rRNA from 1 species
AUUGAACGCUGGCGGCAGGCCUAACACAUGCAAGUCGAACGAGUGGCGGACGGGUGAGUAGUGUCUGGGAAACUGCCUGAUGGAGGGGGAUAACUACUGGAAACGGUAGCUAAUACCGCAUACCAUCGGAUGGGGUCAGAGUGGAUUAGCUAGUAGGUGGGGUAACGGCUCACCUAGGCGACGAUCCCUAGCUGGUCUGAGAGGAUGACCGGCCACACUGGAACUGAGACACGGUCCAGACUCCUACGGGAGGCAGCAGUGGGGAAUAUGCCACAAUGGGCGCAAGCCUGAUGCAGCCAUGCCGCGUGUAUGAAGAAGGCCUUCGGGUUGUAAAGCACUGUCAGCGGGGAGGCGUUACCCGCAGAAGAAGCACCGGCUAACUCCGUGCCAGCCGCCGCGGUAAUUC